GUCCGCGCGCGCGGGGCGGCCGCGGCGGUGAGCCUGCGCGUCAGGGCCGCCGGCCUCUCCUUGGCUGUUGGAGGUGAUAGGGGUCGAGGGGAGGGAAAAAGGGGCUGGCGUCAGCCGCCCCUGUGAGGUGGCCGUAGCGUGGACGAGUAAGAAGGGUUGAGUAAAGUGGACAAACACCUGGUUAGGAGAAGAGGGCAGGCCCGCAGCCGCCCUCCGGAGGAGGACUCGGGGCCUCGCGGGCGCCGGAGGAGGUUCCUGGGCCUCGGAGGGCCGCCCCGGCGCGCCGCCCCGGCGCGAGCGGGCGCGGGCGGGGGAGGGGAAGUGAGAGGUUGUUUAUGACCGGGGACUAAUCUCCUCCGCGAGUCCCAGCGCUCCCUCUGGGGAGUGCGGUUGAGGGGCUGUCCUCGCACGGAGCCUCGCUCGGCCUCGGGGGAGCCACGAGAGGUGGGAGUUGGACCCGCAGCGGGCCAGGAGCCCUGUCAUUGGAGGACCCGCCAAAAAGGAAGCAAACCCUCUUUUUCUUUAUCCAACCCCAAAUAGCUAGGGCCUAGGGGGAAGACUCACAUAUCGAUAAAUGGUUUGUUGCCCGUUUUAUUCUCUGGGAAAUACAACUGAUCUUACCAAAGAAAUAACCUGUCUCUUGCCGUGUUUACUUAGAGCCAUAGAAUACCUGUUUCAGAGCUGAAGGGGACCUGAGCCCAUGAUAAUCCAUUACCUCGUGAGAAAGCGGAAAAACUGACUUCAGCUUGCCCAGAUGGCGCAGAGAAUGGGUUUCCCGUAACCCCGCCUGUGUCUUUCCUUCAGCCUCGUCCCAAAUGCCGUGGGAGGGAAGGCACUCUCUGUCAAGCUGCUGUCACCUUACCUGAAGUAAGGAGUCCACGCCUGCAUGUCCGAGGAAAACAGUUUUCUCAAACACAUUAGUUGAAAAACUGAAGACGCUGCCUAAAAUACAAGCUGAGUUAGAGACAGCCCUUGUAAGACUAGAAAAAGAAAUGGAAACUAAGUAACAUGAAUUAACAUAGUCCAGGGUCACAAAGCAACAUGGAACAAGAACCUGGAUCUGAAUUCAGAGGCAGAAUGCUGGAGAUAGGGUCUUGUUCUGUCGCCCAGGCUUGGGUGCAAUGGCAUGAUCACAGCUCACUGCAGCCUCGAACUCCUGGGCUCUAGUGAUUCUCUUGCCUCAGCCUCCCUUGUAGUUGGACUACAGGUACAAAUCACCAUGUCUGGCUCUUGUUCUUUAACACAUGCUUGUAGCUCAAAACUAGUAGAAUUCCCUCUGAUACAUUUGUGAACCUCUGCUCCUACU
rnacentral:lncRNA from 10 species